GCUAGGACUCAGCCUUGUCUCGGCUUGGUGCAUUUCCUAGUGGACGGGCCAGCAUCACUUUUGGCUGCGGGAAAAAGGUCAGAGGAAUGUGGCACCUUCGGGUGUGUUAUAGCCUCUGGCUGCAUACCGUGGCUGGGAGUGAGGAACUCAGCAUGCCUUUAUGGCGGGGCUUCGGCCACCUUCGUGCUUAGGAUGCUGGCGUAAUGGCUUUAAGCGACCCGUCUUGAAACACGGACCAAGGAGUCUAACUUGCCUGCGAGUGUUUGGGUGGAAAACCCGAGCGCGUAAUGAAAGUGAAAGUUGGGACCUCUGUCGUGGAGGGCACCGACGCCCGGACCUGAACUUCGGUGACGGCUCUGCGGUAGAGCAUGCAU
rnacentral:ncRNA from 1 species